UCUGUGAUGAUUCAAAGGAUGGAAGGAGACAGAGAGUAAUAUAAUUUUGUCCUCUCAUCUCUUCUUUGGCUCCGGUUGACAGCUGAAAACUUGAGGAUAAAAAUAACUUCACCAAGACAUCACACAAUACAGAGCGAGAGGAUGGAUGGAUGGAACAUACACACGGUUGAAGAGCAGAUGAGUCCUCAGGCCAUGAUGUAUGGCAUUUGAUGCAUCUCCUCCUAACCUGCCUACAAUGGGGGAACACAUGUUUGUAUAGAUGUUGUGUGUUUAUGAUCAUUAAGACUGAAUCAAAGGUGUUUAAGUGGGAUGACUCACUGAGUGACUCUUUAGAUCUUCAGAAAUUGCAGGCUCACAGUUGUCGCUAUACCUAAACCACUGGAAAACAAUGUAGCCAUAUCGAGUAAAUGUCAUCGUGCCCUGCGAGACACGGGGAGGAGGGGUAGCUGUGCACUUCGCUGCUCUCCCUGGAGGGAAUAAGGGCAGAGCGUUUCAGUGCUUUAUGUCUGAGAUGAAGCUGAGAGGACGGCACAAGACCCCACCUGAAGUAAAAACACGGGACGUUUGACUUAAAAGGUGAACUGAGGAACCAAAACAUGAACCACUGCUUAUUUGUGGUGAAGUAAAGCUGCUACUCUCACUGUGACAUGCAUUUAAGAAGAAUCAAAUCAGUUUCACCCAGACACAAUAACGCUGUUACAGCUGCAGCUGACUUUCACUAUCAGGUCAUCUGUCUCUUAUAAUAAUAAAGACUUCAUUUACAAAGCA